UAUAAUAAAUUUUAUUUGCAGUUUGUUUGAGAAUUCAGACCAACCCUGUGAAUGGUACAGAUUUCAAAGGAAUCAGUCCCGAGAGAGCAUUUGCUGAUUUCAUCUUCGCAAGUGUUGUUCUUCAUCUGGUGGUCAUGAAUUUCAUUGGUUGAAUUUUGUGGACAGCAACAUGCCGUACGUUACCAUAAUCAAAAUUUGUGAAAUUACUUAGUAAUGCUAAUAAAUAUAUUUCCGGUAUAUUUAUGUUAUAAGGGUAAUUUUUGGUGUGUGGUUAUGAUAUACGUUCCUAACAUGUGCAGAUAUGGUAAGCAG